rnacentral:lncRNA from 1 species
UGUGUAAUGGGGGUUUUUAUUGUUUUUACCCGCAGCAUGCUUAACUGAAAGAAUGUUAACCUAGUUUCAAUAAAUGAAAAACAAGAGCUGAAGACUCCAUAACCUGAAGUUGUCUCAAUGCCACAUUUGGAUCUGCCAGAUCUUUAGCUCUUGAGCAGGCGCAGUACCCACCCAGGCCCCUUAAGCUGCAACUGCUCCUUCCAUCACUCAAAAGAGUGUGGUGAUAAACCUUCUGGAAGCCACCGGAGGCAAGCACCUGCUUAUUUCUAACGUUCACUUCUCUUCCACCCUGCCUGGAGGAAGAGCAUCCUUCCAGAGGAAAACU